GUUGGGUUGUUGUGAUGCGUGCCUGUAGUCCUAGCUGCUCAGGAGGCUGAAGUGGGAAGAUUGCUUUAGCUCAGGACUUCUGGGCUGUAGUGUGCUAUGCUGAUUGGGUGUCUGCACUAAAUUUCACAAGGUGGCCUCCCAGAAGUCGGGGACCAACAGGUUGCUUAAGGAGGGUCGAACUGGCCCAAGUCAGAAAUGCAGCAGAUCAAAACUCCUAUGCUCAUCAGCAGUGGAAUCGUGCCUAUGAAUAGCCACUGCACUCCAGCCUGGGCAACAUAGCGAGACCCGUUUCU
ensembl:misc_RNA Metazoa_SRP Metazoan signal recognition particle RNA